rnacentral:rRNA from 1 species
CAAAUGAAUUGACGGGACCCGCACAAGCGGUGGAGCAUGUGGUUUAAUUCGACGAUACGCGAAGAACCUUACCUGGCCUUGACAUACUAAAAAGCUUUAAGAGAUUAGAGUGUGCUAGCUUGCUAGAAUUUAGAUACAGGUGCUGCACGGCUGUCGUCAGCUCGUGUCGUGAGAUGUUGGGUUAAGUCCCGCAACGAGCGCAACCUCGUGUUUAGUUGCUAACAGUUCGGCUGAGAACUCUAAACAGACUGCCUACGCAAGUAGGAGGAAGGUGAGGACGACGUCAAGUCAUCAUGGCCCUUACGGCCAGGGCUACACACGUGCUACAAUGGGGUAUACAAAGAGCAGCGAUACGGUGACGUGGAGCAAAUCUAGAAAAUGCCUCUCAGUUCGGAUUGUAGUCUGCAACUCGACUACAUGAAGUUGGAAUCGCUAGUAAUCGUAGAUCAGCAAUGCUACGGUGAAUACGUUCCCGGGUCUU